AGUAAUGCCUGGGAAUAUGCCUUGAUGUGGGGGAUAACUAUUGGAAACGAUAGCUAAUACCGCAUAAUGCCUACGGGCCAAAGAGGGGGAUCUUCGGACCUCUCGCGUCAAGAUUAGCCCAGGUGGGAUUAGCUAGUUGGUGGGGUAAAGGCUCACCAAGGCGACGAUCCCUAGCUGGUCUGAGAGGAUGAUCAGCCACACUGGAACUGAGACACGGUCCAGACUCCUACGGGAGGCAGCAGUGGGGAAUAUUGCACAAUGGGGGAAACCCUGAUGCAGCCAUGCCGCGUGUAUGAAGAAGGCCUUCGGGUUGUAAAGUACUUUCAGCAGUGAGGAAGGUGGUAGUGUUAAUAGCACUAUCAUUUGACGUUAGCUGCAGAAGAAGCACCGGCUAACUCCGUGCCAGCAGCCGCGGUAAUACGGAGGGUGCGAGCGUUAAUCGGAAUUACUGGGCGUAAAGCGCAUGCAGGCGGUCUGUUAAGCAAGAUGUGAAAGCCCGG
rnacentral:rRNA from 1 species